AUGAAAUGUUUGCAUAAAGAGAAUUGGUUAAAUACCCCUCUGAGGAACUUUGUCCUAACUUAAUUUUGUAUUUUUGUUUGCCAAAGUUUUGAAAAUAAUAAUUCCAAGGAUGUUUUCAGGUUCAUAAUGAUGAUGAGGUAAGGGCAUUGUUCAUGCUGCUCUCCAACUCAAGCAAUUGUGUGUUCAGAACUUCAGAUAGUGAAGGAGACAUGGGGGUUUCAAGUGGGAGACAUGCAAGGCAUUAUACCCGUUACACUUGGGCUCUCGAGACAGCAUUCUUUCCUCAGCUUUGUGAACUCGUGUGAAUCAACAAAAAGAAGAAGAGUACCCUAUACCAAACAUUUAUAGCACCGUUUUGAAUAUGUAUCUAGAUUCUUAGUCAGCGUGCCAUUUAUUACUGCUGCAAUGCAAUUCAUGAUUGAAAAAAAAAAACAGAAAAAAAUAAGAUCAUAUUUUGGUUAAUCCAUAAGCUCAAGAAAUGUAAUAUAGGAAUGUAAGAAAAGUUUUGUGCAGGGUAAUGAUGUUUGUUUGUUUUAACUAUUAUUAAAAAUCAAAUGAAAUGUUGUGGUAUUUUUUCUUUUUCU